rnacentral:lncRNA from 1 species
UUUUAGGGAAAAAAUUUGCAUUUAAGAUUGAUAUAAGUGAGUUCAACAUUGAAAACAACUUUUGGUUUUUUGGUGUUUCUAAAUUGACUGAUGAUGAGGAUAUCAUAUUUGAGCUUGAGAAGAAAGCAAACAACAUUGAGGUGGAAAAUACUGCUUCUUUGAACAACAGGUUCACUGAUAUGGAAUCAGAAGAUACUGUUAACCUGAAUGAUGAUAACUGCACUGAUGUUAUUAUGGGAGUC